GAAAAACGGGGAGGAAAAAAAAGAAAUCUUUAAGAAUUAAAAGAAGAUAUAUUAUAUUAAAAUAUCUGUGAUGUAAAAAGUAACAAAAUUUUGAUGUAUAUUUUUCACAAAUUAUUGUAACCAGCUAGUGUAUAUGUGUAAGAUUACGGAUAUAAAAAGGGGAAAGGAGAGAAAAAAAAAAGGAAAACGAGGAAAAAGGGAGAAAAAGGGAAGAGCGAAAAUACUAUUGUAAUUACGGUGUGUGGAGACAAAAAGUGGCGAGUAAGAGAGAGCGAAUUGAAAGCCAACAAACAAACAAAACAAAGUGAAAAACCAAAAGAUGAAAUACAAAAAUACGGGAGAAGCGAGAUCGCGAGAUUACGUUUAUCCACACCGGUGGUCAGACGGGACCAAGAUGGCGGGCAUUGCUCGGAAAGUCGGGCCCAAAGAUUCUCAAGUUUUUUUCGUUUCGCUUUUCCAUAUUUUGUUUUCUUUUUUUUUUUUUUUUUUUUCCGUUACUCGUCUUUCGCGUCUUCUGCUUUACCCCAGAAACAAAUGGAACAAAUUCACGAGCGGCUUCUGCUUCUCGCCCCUCCCCCCCACCCACAUUAAAAUUAAACGCGGAGGGACGAAACAAGAGCGAGAAGGGACAAGAACAAAUUGUCCUUUAACGCUUGGACUUGCAGUUCGCGUCGAGUGCUCUCGAUCUUUGUCAAAAUUGAACCGUUUUUCUACGUGUAUAAUUGUACAAUUUUCGUUUUCCUCUGCUCGUCUGUCGGCAGAGCAAUCAUCUCGGGUUCCCGAAAACUGGAAGAUUUGGUCCGAUUGGCCCUGAAACGGCUCAAUGUCAGCUACCUCACAGAGUAUCGUCACGUUUGGUAUGGGUUUGCUCAGGGGAGGGGCGAGUCUUUCGCGAAUUCGAAGUAUACGCGACACGCUAAAACUUGCCGAUUUGUGUUCAAAAAAAAAAAAAAAAGAAUGGGCGAACAAGUCGAACGGAGGCGUCGACUCGACGUCCGGCUCCUCGGGUCACCGAUUACAAUUAACCAGGAAAACUUCUAACGCGUACGCACGUGCGUCGCCCGCGUGAACCCGUGCGCGGGCGGCGCACGCGCAAAGGAAGGACUCUAAAUAGAUAGGGUAGAUAGAUAUACGACGAACAAAAAAAAAAAAAAAGAAAAAAAAGAAAGAAAGAGAAAAAAUUAGGAAGGAAACUACGAAAGAAAGGAAGGAAGAGAGAAAGAAAGAUAGAAAGUUGGAAGAAUUCGAGCGCGAGAAUGGGGAAAGCCAGUGCUGGACCGCGCCUCCGACAUCAGCCCGAAUCGCGGAGCCUCCUCGUAUUGCGACUGACAGCGAUUUCUUUGCAGAGCUCUCGCGCGACAGCUGGGAAUGAACGAGCUACGCGAAAUCAUCCGUUCUCGCUGCCACGGUAAACGAUCUUUUUCCAUUCUACACACACGUAUAUAUAUAUAUAUACGUAUAUCGCGGCGACAGUUUUAUCUCGCGACGACGAGCCUCGACGCGGGCUAAGAUUUACGCGCGGCCGAUGGGUGCACUUCGAUUCGAACACCAGCUGGCGAUCGGUCGGUGCUUCUUCACCGGACGUGUUUCGUGGAAUAAUUUUUUUUUUUUUUUUUUUUCCAUCGUUGAGCGAUCGUUCGCGUCGGCGGAUUUGGACUCGGUUGAAAUUCGGUGUUUCCAGCGGCGCGGCGGAAGGGGGGAGUAAUUGAGGAAAGUAAGAGCGCGCGAUCGCCGCUGCGAGAGAGAGUGUGUCCGUACGAGCGUCAACGGGUGAAAACGAAGUUCGUGAAACAAAGGUAUUAUUCGUCCAUCCAAAAGGUGAUGUAUUCUUUAAAGUACAAUUACUUCUUGUUCCAUAUAUACGAAUCGAAAUUACUUUCAUGUUCCUAUUUCGAGGUUUAAGGAGCGUACUGAGUCGGGUCUUGUUUGCGGCUUAGAGCGAUGCGUCCUCGUCGGUCGCGGAUCUCAUUUCCGCGAUGGUGGCGGGCCAGAUCGGAGGCGGUCGGUCACCACACUGACUAUGCCUGGACUUUUCGACUAGGUUAGGCGUUAGGGAGAACAAA